rnacentral:rRNA from 1 species
CGGUGGAAGGAGCGCCAGCGUCACUCGGCCACUACCUGAGGUUGACACGCGUCAGGUUCAGAAGCGGGGGCAGGUAGAAGGAGGCGUAGCGCCGAACAGCGCAAGGAGGGAAGGCGGAGGCGCGCAGGGCACACGUAGGCGAAGUCAUUAAUCGGGGGGUAAGCCGAGGCAGCGGCGUGUCUAGGAAGUUAGGCACGGGUUUAGUCCCAAGAACCGGCUGGCUUAGGUCCGGAGCGAGCCGCCUCUGACUCCGUAAGCCGAGCGCCGCCCGCCGCUACCUCAAGCACCGCAGGUAGCAGCUGUGCCGCAAGGCCGGCGAGUUCCUGAUGAAGCGCGCCUGCAAGCCCAUGCAGUACAGGACGCGGCUGAUGUAGCUGCGCGACCCGGUGCUCCACCUGCUCGAGUUCUCGUUCGCGCUGCUGCAGUUCGCGUACCACCUGCGGCGGCUCGCGGUCCCCUACCUCCGGUGGUCGGUCCAGUUCACCACCGAGCUCACGCAGCGGUCCGAGCUCCUGCGGCGGCGGGCCUAGGUGCGGCUCGUGGUCCGCGCGGAGGUCGAGGGCGGGCUGGUCCGCGGGCCGGAGUCCCGGUGGAUGGCGGAGUCGGUCUCCCGGCUGCUCUGCGAGCGGCUCCGGCGGCCGGAGUUCCUGUUCCCGCUGAAAGUGUUCCAGCGGCUGCUCGAGCACGUCCAGGCGAAGCUCCUCUACGGGUCGCGCGGGCAGCAGCCGUACCUGCUCUACGAGGUCCUCGAGUUGCGGACGUAGGCCCCGCCGCUGCGGCCGCAGCAGCCGCAGAUGCCGUACCCGCCCUAGCCGUUCUGGCGCGACGAGGUGUUCAAGUUGUUGCUGAAGGAGUAGCCGAGCGUCCUGUAGUUACAGCAGUAGAUGCAGCUUCAACCGUCCCUCAAGUCGGAGCUGCCGUAGGUCUUCCAGUAGCCGCUGGCCGAGCCCAACUCGACCCUCUUGUCCUGCGGGUUCCUCGCGCGACCCCACGAGAUGUCCCACGAGUGGUUCUACUUAAAACACAACGACGACCUGCUGGAGACCCUCGGUGAGUUGAAGGCCUACGAGCCAUAAGGCCAAGGGUUCGUGUUGAGGUUCUCGUUCUAGUAGCACCGGUGCUCCUACCUCCUGCACACGUUGGCUUACCUACAGGCAGCGUUCGAGUUCUACCUCGCGGACGGUGGCUACCGGCGGACCCUCGAGAAGGCACUGUUCCAGCCGCUCGUGGAGCUCGCACGGUCGGGUCUCUAGACCCCCGGCCGUUACCCUCACCGGUACUUUACACCACCCGACGGGGAACGCGAGUAGUGGCAGCCGGCCCGAUACCGGUCGUUCGUGUGACGUUUUCUUACCUUCGUGCGGUAGUGGCAAGAUUUAUAACGGGGUACCGUCGAAGAACCGUACCUCUGCCUGCAAGAAUACGGAGAGUUCUCGUCGAUACUGUUGAACGGGUCACUGUUCGAUUCCGAGACGGACGACAUGACGAGCGACAAAGGUCUCCUGAAGUAGUAAAGGUUCCUAACCCAGUAUCCGAUGACGUAGCCACUUCCAAAGUAUCUACUAGAUAUGUGACUCUACCUACUCUAUAUGUUGUUUCCCGUACUGGAAGACCCACUAGAGUUCUAACGUAGGAACGACCUUUUUCCAUUUCUGCUGCUUGUGUAGUCAUACGUAGGGUACCAGGCGCGCUACCGAGAGACCUAUCGUAGUCUUAAGCCGUGUUUUCUCUGGUUUACCGAACAGGCACGGACCCAACCCGAGUUCCUUCGUGGUCCACGUCUCUUUACCUCGCUCCGACUCGCCUAAACAAAGUACGCCUUAUUGUAGCACCUCGACAUACUCUGCGGAUUAACGGGAGACAACUUCUGGAACUACGAUGUUUUGUUGCGACCCAACUUUUUCAACACGCUGCCGAAGAAGGUCAAGUACGGUAGAGAGUCCCAUAAUCUAGAGAGCGUGUGGAGAUAGUGACUUAAUGGGAGUCCCUAGUCACGUAACCAAGUCAACGUCAUGGAACUAAACAUAGUGUGUCUGUAGUAUAGUGACGGUUCCCUCGAUCCUAGUGACCAGUGAGACGCCAAGGACGAGGAGAGUGUAUACGGCGAACAUUACUAGGGUCCACCACAGUAUCUAUCGGAGUUUUACGACGUUCAAGACAUGUACCUGAAGUCAAUGGCUCUGACCUUUCAGCCACUCUCACCUUUACCACAACUAAAAGUCCUCGAACUCUCGGAUGCGUCCGAGUUCCGUUAGCUGUAGUGUCAUGUCAGCCAGCUCCGGGAUCUCUCCGACCGUGCCAGUAUAGCGGAGCGGCCAUGUUGUUCUUUAGACUACUAUUUUCGUACGCCAUCGGACUGUUUCUACCUCGAGGGAAGUUCGGUGGAGACCUUCUGGUACUGUUUGGACUUCUCUCACACCUAGAGUUUGACGUCGUUAGAUCGACUCCACUAGUAACUGCCGUCGCUUCUUUGACUAACGGGGUAAAAUCUAGGGACACUAAAAUACUCCUUCCCACUUCAAUAGCUCACACUUGUCGGGCGGGAACUAUCGGACGUCCCAUAGUAGGACGUCUCGGAAGACUUCCAUUUCUAGCAGAUGUCCCCACCCACGCAGCUCUUAGACAGCAGUAACAAGUAGACCAUGACGGAUCCUGACCUCCUCGAGUAGUGUGAGUCGCUACCUCUAGUUCUUCGUCGCCGCCUGCUUCUGCUUGUUCGACGUCCCUGAUGAUCGUUUCACUAGUGUGGGAAGGGAUUUGAAUUCCUUGACGUAGAGGUUCCGGAUGGUUUCAACUCCCGCGACUCGUCAUCGCGUACGUACGACGCCAAGGGCAGUGACUUCUCGGAGUUCUAGCGGCUAACAGGUUCGGAGUUCUUCGAGUCUGAGCGACGGCGUCUUGACCUCUUCUAUGUUACGCGCUCCCUGACCAAGCUACCCAACCUCACCCUACUACUACUCCAGUUUCGUAGAAUGCUCGGUGACAACCUACCUUCUUACACUCACUUAAGUCAAAAACGCAUAAUACAACCGGGUUUUAAACUCUCUAUGUGAAAACGGUCCGAAACGCAGGGCCGAAAAGAGAUGAUCAAAGCUUCUUUUAUUUUUGUCCGAAUGAGGUGGGGGGGAAAAAAAAAUGAAAAAGUUUUUCUACGAACCAUGCAUAACUAGUCAGUGACUUAAGUCCCUAACUACACGGGAACACAGUAGUAAGAUCAAACUCUAGACGUGUCACCACGGACAGUCUACAAACUCAAGUCCCUAUACGGGAACACAGUAGGAGGAAAAGAAGAACCUCUAAUACGAAAACAAAAACACACCCGACUUGUUUACGUGUAGACUACUUAUAGUCGUCCACAACCAUACUUAUAGAACGG